GAGUUUGAUCAUGGCUCAGAUUGAACGCUGGCGGCAUGCCUUACACAUGCAAGUCGAACGGCAGCACGGGUGCUUGCACCUGGUGGCGAGUGGCGAACGGGUGAGUAAUACAUCGGAACAUGUCCUGUAGUGGGGGAUAGCCCGGCGAAAGCCGGAUUAAUACCGCAUACGAUCUGAGGAUGAAAGCGGGGGACCUUCGGGCCUCGCGCUAUAGGGUUGGCCGAUGGCUGAUUAGCUAGUUGGUGGGGUAAAGGCCUACCAAGGCGACGAUCAGUAGCUGGUCUGAGAGGACGACCAGCCACACUGGGACUGAGACACGGCCCAGACUCCUACGGGAGGCAGCAGUGGGGAAUUUUGGACAAUGGGCGAAAGCCUGAUCCAGCAAUGCCGCGUGUGUGAAGAAGGCCUUCGGGUUGUAAAGCACUUUUGUCCGGAAAGAAAUCCUUGGUUCUAAUAUAGCCGGGGGAUGACGGUACCGGAAGAAUAAGCACCGGCUAACUACGUGCCAGCAGCCGCGGUAAUACGUANG
rnacentral:rRNA from 1 species